rnacentral:rRNA from 1 species
GACGAACGCUGGCGGCGUGCUUAACACAUGCAAGUCGAACGGAAAGGCCCUGCUUUUGUGGGGUGCUCGAGUGGCGAACGGGUGAGUAACACGUGAGUAACCUGCCCUUGACUUUGGGAUAACUUCAGGAAACUGGGGCUAAUACCGGAUAGGAGCUCCUGCUGCAUGGUGGGGGUUGGAAAGUUUCGGCGGUUGGGGAUGGACUCGCGGCUUAUCAGCUUGUUGGGGGGGUAGUGGCUUACCAAGGGUUUGACGGGUAGCCGGCCUGGGAGGGUGACCGGCCACAUUGGGACUGAGAUACGGCCCAGACUCCUACGGGAGGCAGCAGUGGGGAAUAUUGCACAAUGGGCGGAAGCCUGAUGCAGCAGCGCCGCGUGCGGGAUGACGGCCUUCGGGUUGUAAACCGCUUUCGCCUGUGACGAAGCGUGAGUGACGGUAAUGGGUAAAGAAGCACCGGCUAACUACGUG